UACGGUGGCCGAGAAGGGUCACAACAUGUACAAACGCCACAACAACUACAUUUUCAGAAAACACCUCCAAAUUCAGAAAACACAUGCAAACGCCGCCACAACAACUACAUAUUCAGAAAACACCUCCAAAUUCAGAAAACACAUACAAAUGCCACAACAACUACAUAUUCAGAAAACAACUUCGUCGAUUUCACAUCACGUACGCUGCAAAUAUUCACAGCACGAGCAAAUAGGGAAACGAACUGCAAACUGCGAAAACACAACGGAAAUGUUUCCAGGGGGGGCCAUAAUCAGUGACGGACCCGCAUCCAUCCGGUUGUCUUCGCGCUUCUGAAUGUGCGCUUUUGUUGCUUAUGGCUACAAGACAUUGAAAUGUUCUGUCCGUUUUGUGCUGUGCAACUGGGGGACGCUCCCAAGUUUUGCCCGUCGUGUGGUAUGAACGUGGGGUUCCUUACGGAGCGUCCAUCCACGUCAUCAAGCGUAGGCCAUGGGCCUACAGAGGAUGACCUAAUACGUGCCUACUUCAGAAAGGACCACUCCAACGAGAUUAUUAGAGAUUUUUUGGAGUCAAAGCAUGGGAUUGUUAUGAGCCUGAAAACUCUAAAAAGAAGGCUGAAACGGUUAAACCUAAGUCGGAGAGCAAAUUACACUCCACUGGAGACUGUGAAUGCUGCCAUCACUACUGAAUUGAAUGGCUCAGGACAGCUGUUGGGCUACAGGGCUAUGUGGCAGACCCUGCGACAGAAGCAUUCACUGACAGUAAAACGAGACAAUGUCAUGCAAGCCCUCAGAUUAUUAAAUCCAACAGGAGUAUCUCUCCGUCAUAGGCGCAGAUUUGUUAGGCGAUCCUAUUGCGCCGCAGGACCCAAUCAGGUGUGGCACGUGGAUGGCUAUGACAAGCUCAAGCCCUUUGGGAUUGCCAUCAGUGGCUGCAUCGAUGGGUAUUCAAGGCGGGUUAUGUGGCUAAGUAGUGGUAGCACCAACAACGACCCUGCAGUAAUCGCUCAACAUUACCUGCAGUGUGUUUCGAGCUAUGGCCUUCCGGCUCGUCUUCGGACAGACUGUGGGACAGAAAAUGGAGACAUGGCUGCCAUCCACUGUUCUUUAAGAGAGGACCACACCGAUGAAUUUGCAGGUUCUGUCAGCCACAUGUAUGGCACUUCAACUGCCAAUCAAAGGAUUGAAAGCUG